rnacentral:lncRNA from 1 species
CCCACCAUAAAUCCUGCCCUAAAAAUUCUUUAUGGAGUCCACCUGUCCACAGCAAAUAAAUCAAUUGCUCUAAAUUAAAUUCUGUAAAAGCUGAGUGGCAUAGGGUACCAUGUCUGGAUUUAUUUGGGAGCCAGCAAGACUGUAAUUUUCUAAGUCAACACUCUGACCCUGCUUUAUUCAUUUGCUGUUUGUGAUAAAACUGGAUCUCUCCCUAUAUUUUUGGCUGGUUGUUUCUUCUCUCUGUGAUAGCUGUAAUAAGCGUGUCCCUGAGAAGAGGAUGGUGGGGAGGAGGCACAGAGGGCUGUCAUCCAAAGGAGAGAAUUAAAUCAGGAUGUAUCUGCUCAUGCUGGCUCCUGUUUUUGCACAGCCUUCUGCUUAUAUUUUCCCUGCAUUAACUUCUCACAAGCGAAGCUAAAGUGCCAGGCAAAGGCCUCGUUAGACACACAUCUUGGGGAACUCUGAUGUGCCAUUAAUUAAGCUCUUUCAGUGCCUCUUUCCUGCUGGUUUCAAGGACCAGCCUGCGUGCCUUAACUCUUCUCUGCUCUUUCAUCUCCCUCUUUCCUCAACAGUGCUCUGACAAGAGCAGUGCGGGGCCCUGCUGCAGAUGGGGCUGGGAUGGUGUAGUGCCCUCUAAGUGAACUCUCAAGUCUUCUCUAGCAGAGGGAGAGCCCUUGCCAAGCUUGUCAGACAGCGAUGUGCAGAGCCGUUCUCUGUCAAUGGGUUUGUUGGGCAAAGUCAGGGCUUGACAAAGAAGAAGUAGAUGCCAGCACAUCCUGGCAUGGCAGCACCAUACGGAUCCAUCCUCCUGCUGCUACCCUUCAGCUGAUGGCACCGGAAGUCUUCCCAUCAGAAAGGUUAGCACUGUCAGCCUGAUUGAUUUCCCUCAGCUAAUGACUCAAAUAAGAAUUCGUAAUAUAUCACUCCCGGUGUUGCUUUUAUUUCAUUUUAUUGUUUUUCUUCCUCUGUUGUCCCUCUCAGCAAAGUUUGAGGAUAACUUAAAUCAUGGUGGUGUGCUCUUAGAAAUGUAGGGUGUACUGGUUGAGCUAUUCCCCAUUGUACUUAUGCUCUGCCUCAAAAAAACACUUUACCAGGUGAAGAUCCUAGUCCCAACCCUCACCACACAACCAAUGGCUGAUUAAGACAAGGCAUCCUUCCCCUGAACUUGAACUAGAGACUAUAGAUGUACUUCAAAACUGCACCUAUCUAUCCUGAAUGUGCUUUAUGCCAAGAAAUGAGCAGUCAGGACUAAUCCAACUUCUGGAGGGAUAUUUUAAUGUGUAUUUAUGUGUUAGAGGAGAGGGAAAUGUAACACCAUAUAUCUCUCUUACAGCUAAGAAGCUAUGAGAUGGAGAUGAUGCUGGUAUUUUGAUCUCUAUCUUCCCUUGGCAGCUCAAUCUUCUUUUCAUACAUCUUAGAGGAAAAUUGGGUGUCGCUUUCUGCUGAGUCUACUGCCUACUUGGUCCUUAACAGCCCACUUUGUCCCUGUAACCAAAGCCCUAGGACUUAAGAUGAUCAAUUUAUAACGUCUACAGAGUGCUAGGAUGAAAAGAUGUUCUGAAAAUGCCUCAGAUGAAAAGAAGCUGUAAAAAAAAACUAAUCUUUACCCUGAUAGACUGAUUACAAUCUAUUGUGCUGUGGAUUAGCGGGUGAGUAUUUAUUCUGCUUAUUUUUUUACUCCUAUGUACAGAUGCUCUGGACCACAAUGACCUCUUUGAAGUCAUUAUUGGCUCUCGCAUCCAUGAGUAGUAUGGAGGGCACAUUAAUAAACUGUAUAUAGAAAAAGACAAUGAAGUCCCCAAGAAGUCAUUAAGAGUCUAUUGUGUCAGUCUGACUGUGGCCCACAAAAGAUACUGAAUAUGUAAGCUAAAAAUAUCCUUCGGAAAUGCUGUUGACACAGUUAUUUUACAUUGGCAGCAACAUCUUCCCCCCACAUACACACGCUCCCCUUGCUAAUCCUGCUCAGAGCAAUCCAUGUUCUGGGAAUCAUCUGUUUUUUUUUUUUUUUCUUGGGAUUCAGAGACCUCCAGAUAGCAGCACUCUGCUGGCACUUUGCAGCUUUGUUAGGGAAAAACAGGAGCGUAUCUUUUAUUCCUGCCCUAUAUCCUCCUAUGUAUGAAGUGCUGCACAAACACCCAACUGAUGACUGCAGUUAUGUCAAAGAGCUGUCAGCUGAAAAGAACAGAGCAUAAAAAUACGAGAAGGGAGCAGGUAUCCACACUUCUUCUGUCCUUUUGGACCCAGCAGUGCCCCCACCUCUCAGCCCCUCAGUUUCCUGUACCCAAGUCCACGAGGGACGCUCAGCCCAGCAGCAGAGGAGUUGACCUCAGGUUUUUCUGGUGACACCAGCGCUGACACUCUGCCUCCUCCACGUUGGCAUGGAUGCUUAGAAGAGCUGCUCCCAAAGGUGCAGAGAUCAGCUUCUUCUGGAAGAAAUGUAUCUAAAAUGAGCAGAAGUGCUCUCCUGUGUAUCACGGGGACGUUGUCAUCUCCCAGGCUGUGAUAUGUGGCUAAAAAAAGAACAGAGGGCUCCUAAAAGUAGCCGAAAAGUGCAUGAUCUGUGAGUAGAGCCAGGAGACAACUGAGUCAUCUCAAGUUCUACAGAGGGCCGAAAGAGUGGUAUUGGAGUGAAUAUGAGUGCAGAGCAGGCUGUGAGCAACGGCCCCAUCUCCAUGAUUUCCAUAGUCAAGCAGAUAGUACAAGAGAUGUGUGCUUGUGCAUUUGUAUCAUUCAGACUCCAUGUUUUCAGAUUCUUUGAACGGAGAACAAGAAAAAUGAUGGAGGAAAAGGAUCAGUGAGAAAACACUUGGAAUCACACCAGCGAGAAAGCCCCUGCUUUGCUAACACUGUGGUGGUUGGCAGUGGGAAAUAACUAACCUCCUACCACAGUGAUAGCUGAUAGUUAUAGCAUGCUUAAAACAGUCAUGUAUUUUGUAUCCCACUCUCUUCCACAGAAGUCACGUUUGCCAGAAACUUAAAAAAAGAUUCAAGUAUGGUUCAUGUUUCAUUUUGCUCUGAGGUAAUUGCCAGUCAGCAGCCAUUUGUGGUCUAAGAUGACUGGAAGUUUUAAAGCAGAAUGUGGGCUUUUCCCACUUAUCUACUUACCAAAACCAACAUCUACUGGGGAAAAAAAAAUCAACACAAUAAACAACAGAACAAAACAGUAUCUCAGAGGAGUCUGGCACACAAAUGACACAGUUAAAAUGUUGCUCCACUAUUACAAUUGCUUCAGAAUGAUUACUAUCCUUCUAUUUCAUCCUCAGCUGAUUAGUCCCUAGGCUCAAUUGCUUUCAAAUGAAUAAAACACCAUCUAUUUGUGUUUUUCCUUCUGUGAGGGAAAAAAAAAAAAAAAUCUACUUAUUGUGAUAAAGAGAUUGGUUUUAUCUGUGUGGACUUUUGUUCUAAGGAAUGCAAUAAUUUUGCUGGUACUGAAAUUCCGAUUUUGAGUGUUUUUAAUUAGACUAUUGUCUACUCUGUUGAUUUGAGAAAUGGUUUGCAUAACUGACCCAAACACCUCCGGAAGCUUAAACUGAAUUUUGGAAAGCAUUACUGAAUAUUUUUCCUGUCUUCCUCCUCGCUGGACAGAAAAAGCUGAAAAGCCCCAAGCACAGUCGGAUACGCAAACCCACAAGGAUACUAGCAGCUAUGCGUUUCCCAUCACCAGUUGUUCAGGAAAUGCUGUACUUCAAAGAUAUCAGGUCAUUGCCCUUUUUCAAUACAAGGCGUUCAGAUAUAGUUUUGAAAAAUUUUCAGUUGUCAUCCAAGAUGAAUCUUAUCACGUUUACCCAUUAUUUCGAAUCAGAUCUGAAACAUGACAGGCAUAAUUUGGAUUGAGAUAUUUGGCAUUUCCCAAACCCCUGCCAUAUGUCACUCAAAGCCAUUGAUGGGCACUUCAAAGAAAACCAGCAUGCAGUUUUGAGCAGUUCUUUGCAAGUUUCUUUGUAGCAAAAUUUCCUACUUGGAAGCCCUCUAGUUAAGCUUGCAUUUCUGAUAAAUUUCCAUGCAUUAUUAACCUAAUUGGACCCAACAUAUAUUCUAAGAUUCUCAUUAAUAUUUUUAACAUGUUAUGGCAUCUUUAUCCUUGAGCAGUCAACCAAGUUUUCAUCUUCAUAAAAAUGGGUUCCUCAUAAUCGGACAAUCCAAUCAUUUCCAGUCCAUAAGGUAAAUUUCCUCUAUAUUCUUUGAUUUUGCAGGAUUUUUUUUUUUAACCAAUCAGCAUAAUACAUUUCACCCUAUGGUUUAUUUCUCCGUAAACCUUGCCACAAUUGCUGGAAGCUUCUAACUGGAAAGGAUGCCAACUUGAGCUGGAGGACACAUCUAAGAGAUGACCUCAGGCCAACUGAAAGAAGGUAGAGCAUUUUAGGAGGACCGUUCCAUUUAUUCUUGCAAUUUAGACGCUUCGCUGACUUCUGAUCAUCUUCAGAAUGGAUAAAAUGCCAAUGGACCGUACUGAAUGGUAAAUAAAUGGUACUACAGCCCACUGACUGUUAGUCGUUCGUUAAUAUAUCUGCAUAGGGAUAACACUGUGGAGACUAAAUCCUGAAUAAAACUGUCUGAGGUGAUACAAAAACGAACAUGAAAAGGAUGACCCUAAGCUAAAAAGAUUACUUGUGUUUGUUUGGCUCGAUGGCUGUAAUAGCAGCAGUAUUCAGCUGGAACAAUUAUUGGGUAGAAAAGAAGGGUUUUUUUUUGUAUAAGUUCAGAAUGCUUUCACUGUUAUUAUCUAAAAUUGAACUAUGUAUAUUAUUUUAAAUGGGUAAAUUUUUGUUUUGUAUCCAUGAAAUUGCUACCACAUUAACAAGAUUUUCCAGGCAUUAAUGGAUUGAUUUCUGUUAAAUUGUAACUAUAUUAAUUCAUCCCAAUUACCUCUAAGUAAAAUUUAAAUUAAGUUAAAUUGAAGAAAUUAAAAAUGUUUGAAAACCCUGCAUGGAAACCUUGAGGCAUCAUAAGAUUGUCAUUUCUCAUCUUUAAUGUCAUUCAUUUUGCAACUGAGAACACAACAUAAGUAGUCUCAGUUCUCACAAGAUUUGUAAGCUGCUAUUUUUCUGUACAAUUUGAAGGUAAUUUAAAGGUAUCUCAAUAAGUCCAACCUGCU